rnacentral:rRNA from 1 species
CCUACGGGUGGCAGCAGUGAGGAAUAUUGGUCAAUGGACGCAAGUCUGAACCAGCCAAGUAGCGUGCAGGAUGACUGCCCUCCGGGUUGUAAACUGCUUUUAUUUGGGAAUAAAAUGGGGCUCGUGAGUCCCGUUUUGUAUGUCUCAUCAGAAAAAAGAGCGUCUAACUCUGUGCCAGCCGCCGCGGUAAUAGGGAAGGUCCGGGCGUUCUCCGGAUUUAUUGGGUUUAAGGGGAGCGUAAGGCGGCUUUUAAGUCAGGUGUGAAAGUCCGCGGCUCAACCGUAGAAUUGCAGUUGAAACUGGAGGCCUUGAGUGCACACAGGGUAGGCGGAAUGCAUGGUGUAGCGGUGAAAUGCUUAGAUAUCACGAAGAACUCCGAUUGCGAAGGCA